rnacentral:rRNA from 1 species
UAACACGUAGGGGGCGAGCGUUAUCCGGAUUCAUUGGGCGUAUAGAGCUCGUAGGCGGGGUCUCAAGUCAAAUGUGAAAGCUCCUGGCUUAACUGGGAGAGGCCAUUUGAUACUGGGGCUCUUGAGGGCAGGAGAGGGAGGUGGAAUUCCCGGUGGAGCGGUGGAAUGCGUAGAGAUCGGGAGGAACACCAGUGGCGAAGGCGGCCUCCUGGCCUGUGCCUGACGCUAAAGAGCGAAAGCUAGGGGAGCAAACGGGCUUAGAUACCCCGGUAGUCCUAGCUGUAAACGAUGGAUACUAGGUGUUGGGGGUAUUGACCCCCCCAGUGCCGCAGCUAACGCGUUAAGUAUCCCGCCUGGGGACUACGGCCGCAAGGCUA